UCAACGGAUAAAAGGUACUCCGGGGAUAACAGGCUGAUACCGCCCAAGAGUUCAUAUCGACGGCGGUGUUUGGCACCUCGAUGUCGGCUCAUCACAUCCUGGGGCUGAAGUAGGUCCCAAGGGUAUGGCUGUUCGCCAUUUAAAGUGGUACGCGAGCUGGGUUUAGAACGUCGUGAGACAGUUCGGUCCCUAUCUGCCGUGGGCGCUGGAGAACUGAGGGGGGCUGCUCCUAGUACGAGAGGACCGGAGUGGACGCAUCACUGGUGUUCGGGUUGUCAUGCCAAUGGCACUGCCCGGUAGCUAAAUGCGGAAGAGAUAAGUGCUGAAAGCAUCUAAGCACGAAACUUGCCCCGAGAUGAGUUCUCCCUGAGACUUAGAGUCUCCUGAAGGAACGUUGAAGACGACGACGUUGAUAGGCCGGGUGUGUAAGCGCAGCGAUGCGUUGAGCUAACCGGUACUAAUGAACCGUGAGGCUUAACCUUACA
rnacentral:rRNA from 4 species